CAAAUAUUUAUGUCAUGAUUUGCCUGGAAGUGUUCUUGCUCUCUGUUCAGGAAAAGAUUUAGUGGAUUUUUUGUCCAACUGAGUCCCCAGGUCAGCAAUGAUGUGACCCACAAAAUCCUUUCACCUUUGCAAACUACAGUCAGCCCAACACAGGUUUUGUCCUGACCUAAAAUGCUGAAAUUUUGGGUAUUUCCUGACUCUGGCCAGCACAAUGAUGAACGUUGUGUAUUGCAAUGGAAAAGUGUCUAGUAGUGGUUACAGCUUCACAGUCAUCAUCUUAUUUGCAGUCCCUGUUAUAGGAAAACAAAAAAUCCUGGAAAGAAGUGGUGAUGAUUAAUCAUUCAUUCCCUCGAAGUAAAGUUGGAGAUGUGCUGUCCCCGAGAUUAAUUAAGCAUAAUUCACAUAUUUCUACAUAUUGAAAAGGACAGCUGUACUUUUAUGAGGCAUGGGUUAGAGUUCUUGUUCCAAGUAAAAAUGUGUAAACAUUUAUAUUUCAGAUUUAUGGACACAUUUUUAUUUUCAUAUUUUAUAUUGUAUAUUUUUCUGUAAGUAUAAUGACCUUCAGAGCUGGAGUGGAAAUCUAUUUAGCCUUAUGCUUAAUCCAGUCUUUCUUACAGGAUUUCAUAAGGAUGUGUUGGGAGCAGGGAAGCUGCAAGAAGAAAAUUUGUCCCUGUCAAAGUUUGGAGCAGGAAGAAAGUCAGAAUCCCAGAACAAUCUUCUCCUGCAGCACUCCACGUGUUAACACAAUGAAGCACUUUGUUUGCUUGUUGGUUUGUUUGUUCGUUUGAGUUUUCUUCUGCUAUCAUAUUUGAUACUUUGUUUGAAGGAAACAUGCAAGGUAUUCUAGUGGAGUCCAAAGGAGUUUUUUUCUCUACAAUGUGUUUGAUAUGUCAACAGAAAUUCCUCACCAAACAUCAGACCAAGGGAGCAGCUUUUCAUCACCUCAAACUUCUGUGGUAAAAUAACACAUGUGAUAUCAAAAAUAAUAUCAUAAUAAAUCUUGAAUAGGUAUCUAACACCCAAAUGCAUGUCAGAAGCUCUUUGCUGUUGUAUAUCUGUGGGAGGCUCCACCAGCUAUGCCUUGUACAUAGGGAAUGCAAAAAAAAGUCUGUGGUUACCCUUUCAUUUGUGCCCUCAGAAGAUAAGCAUCCAUAAAAAGCUCUUUGAUCCUCUGGAUUUAGAUAACAAUGUUGUAAUUAAUUAAUGAAUGGCUAUUUUUACAAUAUAAUUGACUUAUGUCCCCUUACCAGAGUCAGCUGAACACCAGUAUUUGCCAGCAGUCAAAAAUUAAUUUUGCAAAACGUUAGAAAGAUAUUCAGGUUUAUGUUGAAGGAUACUAAAAUUGUAUCUGUUUAUGGCUACAAAAUUCUUCUGUACUAUUUUUUUUUCAAACUGACUUAAUGUUAAUGUAGAGCUGAAUCUCCAGAAUUUUUCAAUAAACAUUUCAGAAUGUCAAAGAUAUUUGAAGUGAUGUCAUGGAACAACUUGACAUUUCUUAGCUCUAUAUGGAUUAAAACUGAGAUUAAUGUAAGGGAUGAAUCAAUAUGGACCAAACCAUUAAGUGUGCCUUAUAAAAAUUAAUCUGCUGAAAUUGAAAAUACACAUUUAAAGUCCUACUAGCUUAAAUUUUGCCUAAUGACAAUUCUAGCUGCUUCCAGAAAGGGAUAGUUAGUAGAUGAAAUCAGAAUUGAGUUUCAGAAUGUUGCAAUUGGAACCAAAAACACUGAGGAAAGGGAUUUGUGUGAAACAAGCCACUAAAAGAACCAAGGCACUGCAUAUCCCAACUCUUUAAAUUAUUAAGUAUUACAAAGGUGAGAAGUUAAUUAAUUAGACUCUCAAAAGAAACAAUAUAAUCUCACCAAACUCUUCACUCUGACAAUACUCCCACUGCACUAUCUUGUAAGAUAUUUCUUUUCAAGAGAAUAGUCAGCACUUAGACAAAAGUUUCUUUUAAAAAUAAAACUGAAAUCAACAAACUAAGGAUUUCAGGGCCAUGGAAAGUUAAAUAAAGCCUGAAGAGUUUACAAAUAUUAGCAGCAGUUAUUGUUUAAGAUAGUGGGAAAGGUUAAGGAAAACUAUAUGGAUGACAAAGAUAAAACCUUGCAUAAUUAAGAAACAAUUUGCAUAACCUGGUAACUAUUGAGAUCUGAUUUCUCUCUCGGUUUAUUUGGGUUUGUUUUUUCCCAGGUAUGACCUUGUUUUCGCCCCAAAAAAGCAAUUAUUGGAAUAAGUACUAGUGCAUGAGAAUGCUAACAGGACAGGUAAUGUUUGGUGGAGUAAAUAAUGGUUUCAUUUUGAGAAUCAUGACAGAUUUUAACUAAAUUCUAGAGUUACUCAAAUGUAUAUAAAAUGCUUUUUUAUAUAAACUUAACAUAUCCAAAUGAGGAAAAAUCUUAAAGCAAUUUGAUUGUUGUAUGCCUACUGUACUGAGAAGAACCUACAAGGUAUUAUUUGGAACCAAAGCAGGAGGGGUUUUUUUUGCACUCUUUUGGAGUCAGGAGUUUUGUAUUUUUACUCUUUAAAUAUAUGAUAUUUAUAGAAGUCCUCAAAUCCUUCUGGGUCACCCCAUGUUGAUCUGAGUCACAAGCAUCAGUGCAAACAAUAGUUUAUCCAAAAUUUAUAUUACUUCAAACUAGCACCAUUGAUCCUGACCCUAGGAGAGGCAGAAUUGGGACUAAAACUGACAAAGAAAUGGCAAUCUGGGCAAAACCUCUGGUGACCUGUGAAUGCAUAAGAUUUCCAGGUCAUUCUCUGUCUGUCAGAGCAAUAUAGAAACAUAGCUAUGGUUACAUAAUUGUUAUAGUGGUCACCUUAGGGUCUCUUUUAGAUAAAACUGAUGCAAGCUUUGCAGAUACAUUUCCUGAUUAAACACACAUAAAGUCUCUUGAAGUUCGGGAUUUCAAAAAAAUCUUUAACAUUUUAGGUUUUCAUUACUAGAAUUGUUGAUAUCAUUUCAAGGUAAGGUAAUAAUGUAAUUUGUUCAUGUAAAGUCAAUAUAAUCUCAUUAUAACAUUGCUGUUGAUUUUACCUAACGUUUAUAAAUCACAUCAUAAUGGAAAUUAAGUCAUAACUAUAGAACUUUAAAAAAGAAUCAAUAUCUCCUUUUUGUUAUUAAUUAUUUUCAAGGAAAAGAAAAUUUUCUCUAGACUUAUUUAAAAAAUCUUUUUUUUUUCUCUCAUUUAAUGUUGCUGCUGCCUUUGAAUCAUUAAGACAAUUUCCUUGCGGGCCACCAUUCUCUGCUAAGUUCCAUCAGGCUGUAAAAUCCUGUAAACUAAGAGUGUGGUAGAAAUUUUUUUUGUUCUGUUGCUGUUCUCAAAAAAUAAAAAUAAAUAAAUUUCAAAGGUUUAAAAUUACCACCUCUUCUACAAAACAUAAGUACAGAUGUUUUGAAAGUUUCCAAGAGUGACAUGACAAGCACUUGGGUUUGCUUAUUGUUUUUCCAUAUUCUGUAUCAAUGUCUAUGUGCAUAAUUUUAUACAUGCACUCUCUGCUUGUUUCCUGUUGAAUUGAAUUAUAUGAAAUAAACAUUGG
ensembl:lncRNA